UACGUAGGGGGCUAGCGUUGUCCGGAAUCAUUGGGCGUAAAGAGCGUGUAGGCGGCCCGGUAAGUCCGCUGUAAAAGUCAAAGGCUCAACCUUUGAAUGUCAGUGGAUACUGCCGGGCUAGAGUCCGGAAGAGGCGAGUGGAACUCCUGGUGUAGCGGUGGAAUGCGCAGAUAUCGGGAAGAACACCAACGGCGAAGGCAGCUCGCUAGGACGGUACUGACGCUGAGACGCGAAAGCGUGGGGAGCGAACAGG
rnacentral:rRNA from 1 species